CGAGAUCGGUUGGUGACAAGGCAACGUCUACACUCCGAUUGCUUUGAAAGGACCGCUUAAAGUUUGUAUGUCAUGCAUGAAAUUAGGAUUGCUCUCCAGAGUUCACAAUGAAAUCUGUCAUUACAAGCGCGGCCUAAGUGUUGGGGUGUCAUGCCGAUGUUUAUUUCUUUCACUUAUGCUUUUCUUUACCUCCGUGUGGGGGGAAAACAGUGUGUUUGUGUUAUCGGAUUAAAAAACCUUUGCCCCUUUAAUAGGCAUUAAAACUGCCACCUGAUUUAUUUAUACAUCUUUGGAGUUCGCUGUCUGUGAAGACAGACCGUGAAAAAGCUAACAGCCUUGAGUUGUCGCAAAAUAAAACCAUACUUCAAUUUCACAACAAAGGUAUGACAACUAUGUCGUGUCCAUUAGGACGCCUCAUAACAUUCUGGCGAACCGGCGGUUAGGCAAAUUGGUUAUUUCUGGUAUUUUAGGAUUAACUAUGGCAUCAAUCAAAAGCGCUUCACGUCGCUAUAGCAUACGUGCGAACGAAGGUUUCUUUGCCAUCCAGCUUGUAGGAACUAUACGUUAUUUGAAGGGCAUUAACAAGCGCUGAAGCUGCAUGAAGACAGUAGCACCGAUAUGGCGGAGAAACAACUGUGAUAUCAGGCAAAUAAGAAUUCCAGUUGGACCAUAAUGGGUUGUUUGGUCUAGGAAUUGGAAGCGAAUCAGAAGGCCGUUUGUUCUCAUGUUACUUCGGAUUUAAGGUUACAACAAUCCACCUUCACUGCUUUCCAAUGCCUAAAGCAACUGCUUGCUGCCAUCAAGAGCCGAGGAAACAGGCCAGCUCAUCAAAAACGAUGACAUUUGAAUCACACAUUAGGAUCACAACGAAAAAGCUACUUGACAUCCAUAAAACCAACACAGUCAGAAAGCGUCUGAAUUGAAUCGAAUAAUAAAGUUUAAAAUAAAGCC